GAUGAACGCUGGCGGCGCGCCUAACACAUGCAAGUCGAACGGAGUGGCGAACGGCUGAGUAACACGUGGGCAACCUACCCUCCUCUUGGGGAUAGCCUCGGGAAACCGAGAUAAUACCAGAUAGCGAAGGAUGGCCCGGGGCAUGUUAGCUGGUUGGUGGGGUAGAGGCCUACGAAGGCAAUGAUGGGUGGCUGGGUUGGGAGACCGACCAGCCAGAGUGGGAUUGGGAAACCGCCCAGACGCCGACGGGAGGCAUGAGUGGGGAACCGUGCACAAUGGGCGAAGGGAUUGUGCAGCGACUCCGCGUUCGGGACGAAUGCUUUCGGGUUGUAAACCGCUUUCAGCGGGGACGCGGUACCUGCAGAAGAAGCCCCGGCUAACUACGUGCCAGCAGCCGCGGUAAUUC
rnacentral:rRNA from 1 species